AGGAGAUGCCACUUGCCACUUUUUAAUCCCAACUGGGAUAAAAAAUAGCCAAGUCAAGAUGUGAUGGCAUGUGAGCCUGUAGCUCUAAUGACUGAUCCGUGGAGAACUACUGCACUAGAUUUCACAUCAUCAUUACAAGGAGCAGGCAAUACUAACUUAAGGCCCGAAAAGCGACAACGACCCGUGGCGGCCCGCCAAACCGCCGCGGAAGAGCCCCCAGCCGCCAAACCCCAUCUC